UACGAAGGGGGCUAGCGUUGCUCGGAUUGACUGGGCGUAAAGGGCGCGUAGGCGGUUCGUACAGUCAGACGUGAAAUUCCUGGGCUCAACCUGGGGGCUGCGUUUGAUACGUGCGGGCUUGAGUGCGGAAGAGGGUCGUGGAAUUCCCAGUGUAGAGGUGAAAUUCGUAGAUAUUGGGAAGAACACCGGUGGCGAAGGCGGCGACCUGGUCCGAUACUGACGCUGAGGCGCGGAAGCGUGGGGAGCAAACAGG
rnacentral:rRNA from 1 species